rnacentral:rRNA from 1 species
UGCCGCAGUACAUUGACUGUGCAAAGGUAGCAUAAUCAGUUGGCUUUUAAUUGAAGUCUGGUAUGAAUGAAAAUAUGGGAGAUAACUGUCUUAGCGUAUUCAUUCGAAUUUAUUUAGUAAGUGCAAAUACUUACAAACUUAAAAAAGACGAGAAGACCCUAGAAACUUGAAGUAGUUUUUGUUGGGGCGACAGAAUUACAUUUAACUAAUUUUAAUAAACAUGACAUUUAAUGAAAGAAUAAGUUACUCUAG